rnacentral:rRNA from 1 species
UACGUAGGGUGCAAGCGUUGUCCGGAAUUAUUGGGCGUAAAGAGCUCGUAGGCGGUUUGUCGCGUCCGCUGUGAAAAUCCAGGGCUUAACCCUGGACCUGCAGUGGGUACGGGCAGACUAGAGUGCGGUAGGGGAGAUCGGAAUUCCUGGUGUAGCGGUGAAAUGCGCAGAUAUCAGGAGGAACACCGGUGGCGAAGGCGGAUCUCUGGGCCGUAACUGACGCUGAGGCGCGAAAGCUAGGGGAGCAAACGGG